UUUCUCUCAUCUCUCCCUUUUCUCUCUCCUCCUCGGUCCAGUAUGUUUGGGAAAGGCUACUUCCUGGUUUUAAACACAAGAACUUCCGCAGUCGAGAAGGAAUCUGUCUCUGUCUCAGUGCCACGCUCAGCACGUAUGGAGCCCAGCAACUAAGCCUCAGUAAACUAGUUCCUCAUCUCUGCUCUCUGAGUGGAGACCAGAACCCGCAGGUGCGUGAGGCCUCCAUCACAACAUUGGUGGAUAUUUAUCGUCACGUUGGAGACAAGGUCAGAAUAGACCUGGGAAAGAGAGGACUCCCGGCUGCACGGUGAGUUUAUUUG